AAAUGGCGGCAGACUAUACAUGCAGUCGAACGAACUCUGGUAUUGAUUGGUGCUUGCAUCAUGAUUUACAUUUGAGUGAGUGGCGAACUGGUGAGUAACACGUGGGAAACCUGCCCAGAAGCGGGGGAUAACACCUGGAAACAGAUGCUAAUACCGCAUAACAACUUGGACCGCAUGGUCCGAGUUUGAAAGAUGGCUUCGGCUAUCACUUUUGGAUGGUCCCGCGGCGUAUUAGCUAGAUGGUGGGGUAACGGCUCACCC
rnacentral:rRNA from 1 species